CGGCCGCCGGCGCAGGUCAGAGUACGAGGAAUCCUCAACCUUCAAUCUCCCGGCCACGAGCCCUGGCUGUUCCUCGUCAUCUUCGUCGUCUCCGGUCACCGGAGAAGGCUUGCCGGACCGUGAUUCGCAGAGGAACGGCGGAUUCGGCUGGGACGGAGGUGCUUUGUACGUAGGAAGCCGGCGACGAGCUCUUCUUCUCGCCUCUCGCGGCUUUCCCGCGCGGACGAGCUUCUAUUCUCCAGCAUCGUUGCAGCCGUGGCCGAGAUCCAACUAUCUCCUAUUUUCUUUCUUUGAUUCCUUCAGUCUGGUCCCAGAUCCAUUGAUUGUUGUGCUAUGCAUUUGUUUAGAUCUUUGAUAGGGAUCCAGUUUUUCUUCUUCUUUUGUUCAGAUCGAGACCAAAAAUUUCGUGUAUCUGCACAAUCCAGUGCUUCUUGUAAAC
rnacentral:lncRNA from 1 species